rnacentral:rRNA from 1 species
UGCUCAGGAUGAACGCUGGCGGCGUGCCUAAUACAUGCAAGUCGAGCGAAUGGAUUAAGAGCUUGCUCUUAUGAAGUUAGCGGCGGACGGGUGAGUAACACGUGGGUAACCUGCCCAUAAGACUGGGAUAACUCCGGGAAACCGGGGCUAAUACCGGAUAACAUUUUGCACCGCAUGGUGCGAAAUUCAAAGGCGGCUUCGGCUGUCACUUAUGGAUGGACCCGCGUCGCAUUAGCUAGUUGGUGAGGUAACGGCUCACCAAGGCAACGAUGCGUAGCCGACCUGAGAGGGUGAUCGGCCACACUGGGACUGAGACACGGCCCAGACUCCUACGGGAGGCAGCAGUAGGGAAUCUUCCGCAAUGGACGAAAGUCUGACGGAGCAACGCCGCGUGAGUGAUGAAGGCUUUCGGGUCGUAAAACUCUGUUGUUAGGGAAGAACAAGUGCUAGUUGAAUAAGCUGGCACCUUGACG